rnacentral:rRNA from 1 species
GAUGAACGCUGGCGGCGUGCUUAACACAUGCAAGUCGAGCGAGAAGUUUUGAAAAGAUUCUUCGGAUGAAAUUUAAAAUGGAAAGCGGCGGACGGGUGAGUAACGCGUAGGCAACCUGCCCCAUACAAAGGGAUAGCAUUUGGAAACGAAUAUUAAUACCUUAUGAAACUUAACUAGUGCAUGCUAGGUAGGUCAAAGAUUUAUCGGUAUGGGAUGGGCCUGCGUCUGAUUAGCUAGUUGGUGAGGUAACGGCUCACCAAGGCGACGAUCAGUAGCCGACCUGGGAGGGUGAACGGCCACAUUGGAACUGAGGCACGGUCCAAACUCCUACGGGAGGCAGCAGUGGGGAAUAUUGCACAAUGGGGGAAACCCUGAUGCAGCAACGCCGCGUGAACGAUGAAGGCCUUUGGGUCGUAAAGUUCUGUUCUAGGUGAUGAAAACUGACAGUAACCUAGGAGAAAGCCCCGGCUAACUCCGUG